GUCUGAAGUGAUGAUUUCCUUAUUACCGCCCCAGUCUGAAGAUUCAUGACUGAUUGGUACCGCACUGAUUAAAC